rnacentral:rRNA from 1 species
GAUGAACGCUGGCGGCGUGCCUAAUACAUGCAAGUCGAGCGAACAGAUGAGAAGCUUGCUUCUCUGAUGUUAGCGGCGGACGGGUGAGUAACACGCGGGUAACCUACCUAUAAGAGUGGGAUAACUCCGGGAAACCGGGGCUACUACCGGAUAAGAUUUUGAACCGCAUGGUUCCAUAGUGAAAGACGGUUACGACUCACACUUAUAGAUUGAACCGCUCCGUAUUAGCUAGUUGGUAAGGUAACGGCUUACCAAGGCGACGAUACGUAGCCGACCUGAGAGGGUGAUCGGCAACACUGGAACUGAGACACGGUCCAGACUCCUACGGGAGGAAGCAGUAGGGAAUCUUCCGCAAUGGGCGAAAGCCUGACGGAGCAACGCCGCGUGAGUGAUGAAGGUCUUCGGAUCGCAAAACUCUGUUGUUAGGGAAGAACAAAUUUGUUAGUAACUGAACAAGUCUUGACGGUACCUAACCAGAAAGCCACGGCUAACUACGUGCCAGCCGCCGCCGUAA